AACGAACGCUGGCGGCAUGCCUAACACAUGCAAGUCGAACGAGACCUUCGGGUCUAGUGGCGCACGGGUGCGUAACGCGUGGUAACCUGCCCUUAGGUUCGGAAUAACUCCCCGAAAGGGGUGCUAAUACCGGAUAAUGUCUUCGGACCAAAGAUUUAUCGCCUUUGGAUGGGCCCGCGUUGGAUUAGCUAGUUGGUAGGGUAAAAGCCUAUCAAGGCGACGAUCCAUAGCUGGUAUGAGAGGAUGAUAAGCCACACUGGGACUGAGACACGGCCCAGACUGCUACGGGAGGCAGCAGUAGGGAAUAUUGGACAAUGGGCGAAAGCCUGAUACAGCAAUGCCGCGUGAGUGAUGAAGGCCUUAGGGUUGUAAAGCUCUUUUACACGGGAUGAUAAUGACAGUACCGGGAGAAUAAGCUCCGGCUAACUCCGUG
rnacentral:rRNA from 1 species